GUCUCUUUGUAGUUUAUAAAUAAAGAGUCGGGCCUGCUCGGUGAAUAAUUGUUUUAACAGCUGCGGUAUUUUAACUGUACUAAGGUAGCAUAAUAAUUUGCCUUAUAAUUUGAGGCUAGAAUGAAUGGUUUGACGAAGGUUAAUCUGUCUCUAUCUUAUUUAAUAGAAAUUAAUUUUUAAAGUGAAAAAGCUUGAAUUUUUUAAAGGGACGAGAAGACCCUACUGAGCUUAUAAUUUUAUUAUUAUUUUGUUCUAUGAUGUGUAAGGUGGUAUAUAAAUUUUAAUUGGGGUGAUUAAGGAAUAAAUAAUAUAAUUAAAUAACUUCCUUAGUUUAGGUAUUGUUAAAUAAAGUAACCAAUAUUAUUGCUUAUAUUAUAGUUACCAUAGGGAUAACAGCGUAAUUUAUUUAGAGAGUUCUUAUUGAAAAGUAAGAUUGCGACCUCGAUGUUGGAUUAAAGUAACCUUAGGGUGCAGAAGCUCUAAAAGGUAAAUCUGUUCGAUUUUUAAAACUUUACA
rnacentral:rRNA from 1 species